CCCAAGGUGCGGCCGCAAAACCUGAACCUGUAGGGGAGGGUCUGGGUGGGUGUCUGUCCACGGUGGCAGCUCUGGCGCAGGACGUGGACCCCACUCCAUCAUAGUCUUUCUUCGCCUCUUUAACCGCCUCCGUGGCCUCUUUAGAGAGGCGACCCUCGCCGCCGACCUCGGACUGGGGUCCGGGAGAUUCCGGCAGCACCGGACAGACGGGAGACUCUGGCAGCUCAGGACAGACGGGCGACUCUGGCAGCUCUGGACAGGCGGGAGACUCUGGCAGCUCAGGACAGACGGGCGACUGGCAGCUCAGGACAGACGGGAGCACCUGUAGGGAGGAGACGGAGAGACAGCCUGGUGCGGGGGGCUGCCACCAGAGGGCUGGUGCGUGGAGGUGGCACCGGAUGGACUGGUGCGUGGAGGUGGCACCGGAUGGACUGGACCGUGAAGGCGCACUGGAGCUCUCGAGCACCGAGCCUGCCCAACCCUUCCUGGCUGAAUGAGAGAGAGAGUGCCUGCCAAGUCCAUAUUAUUGCCCAAGACUAGAGUUCCUGCUUUCAUCUGUCCUGCCUCCACUAGUUCAGGUAUGAGCUAUUAGGCUUUAUAGAAUGGAAUUGCAUAGUUUGCAUCUGGAUAAGCUCCUUUACUGUAAGUUAGUACGUUUAUUAGAUACUAUUGUAAUAUGUCCUAUUUUUGGUCCUGUUGUGUAAGUGGUUGAUGCAGAAUAGACCAGUGGAAGUUGCCAAUGAGCCAUCUGACACAGGCCUACUGUCACAUUUUCCCUGGGGUUAUAUUUACUCCAUAGAGCCAUCUGACACAGGCCUACUGUCACAUUUUCCCUGGGGUUAUAUUUACUCCAAAGAGCCAUCUGACACAGGCCUACUGUCACAUUUUCCCUGGAGACACAUUUGCUGCAAAGAGCCAUCUGACACAGGCCUACUGUCACAUUUUCCCUGGGGUUAUAUUUACUCCAUAGAGCCAUCUGACACAGGCCUACUGUCACAUUUUCCCUGGGGUUAUAUUUACUCCAAAGAGCCAUCUGACACAGGCCUACUGUCACAUUUUCCCUGGAGACACAUUUGCUGCAAAGAGCAGAAACCCAUUGUGCUCUUAGUAGGCUACAGUGGGGAAAUUUAAAGCUAAAAGCAAUUCAAAAAUAAUUUAAUUACAAAUAAAGUGCAACAAAACUCUCACCAAAUUUUGCUUAUCAAUGUUCGCAUGUGUGUGUUUGUGUGUUACGGGCUUGCGAUCACUGACUCGUUGUGAUGCGAUGACCGACUGGCAGAAGAAACUGACCUCUAAACAGAACAUGGUAACGAGGGAGAAGGGGACAGAUGGUGACACGUCUCCUGUCCUCAGCAUCAAUGACCAUGGACUGACAAUUCAUAACCAUCGGUUGGUUCAUUGAGUAGGUUUGUAUGGACUGGGUUUGUAUGGACUUUGUUUAUAGUCUUCCAGUGUGGAAGAUGGGAGCAGUUGGUUAAAGAAUGACAUACAGUAUGGGCUGCAUCUCAGUAGUCUACAGUGGCUCCCUCUCCUCACCUUCAUUUGCACUGAUCUGAAAACAUAGGCUAGGUUAAAGCAAUAUGGUGGAAGCCUCAAAACACAACAUAUAGUGUGCCUACCCUGUAUGUGUCCUCAGCCUUUCAGCGGUCUCUAUCUGAACCAUAGUGAAGUGGGGAUGUACAAGCAUGUGUCCUGCGACCCUCCCCUCUCCAGGUAACCAUCUAGCCUCCCUAUACCAACUGGUCACACUAAAAUCUUCAUUUCGACCUUUCUGUAAUCCUAACCCGAAUAUGAGCAUUUAGACUCAAUCUCUUUCUAGACCUCCCGCUCUCUCCUCUAGUUCAGAGGUGAAGUGUGACUCGGGCAUGGGCUGGCCGGCAUUCAAAGAGGCUCAUGGGAUUUGGGAACACAACUAGAGCCACAUAUACAUCAUCCGUCACCCUGACAACACCCUGGGUAGUCUAUAAACAUUGUGUGUGCAUCGUUACAGUGUGACGCCCAUCUGGGUCAUGUGUUUGAGGAUGGACCGGACCCCACAGGAGAGCGGUUCUGCAUCAACAGCUUCUCUGUCAACUUCAGGCCCAGAGAACCCGCACCUGGUGACCAGUAGAACCCCCUAGAACCAUCUUAAAUCACCUAAGCCUGACCAGAACCAACCUUCAAACCCAGAGAACACAAACCCGAGGACCAGUAGAACGCAACAGGCCCAAUAUCUCGAUCCCUAACCAGAGAUCUCAGCAUCAGGAAUACUGUUUUAUAUGUCUGUAUCUUUCUGUAACUGAUCAUAGAUGAGCUUGUGACCUAUAUUUACCUGGCUGUGUGGUCUUCCCAACCAUAGCCUCAACUACUGUACAUUAUAUAGUGCCUUCGGAAAGUAUUCAGACCCCUUGACUUUUCCGCAUUGUGUUACAUUACAGCCUUAUUCUAAAAUGUAUUCAAUAGAUUUUUUUCAUCAUCAGUCUACACACACACACAAUACCCCAUAAUGGCAAAGCAAACAGUUUUCAGAAAUGUUUGCAAAUGUAUAAAAACAUACAUUAUUUACAUAAGUAUUCAGACCAUUUGCUAUGAGACUCGUAAUUGACCUCAGGUGCAUCCUGUUUCCAUUGAUCAUCAUUGAGAUGUUUCUACAACUUGGAGUCCACCUGUGGUAAAUUCAAUUUAUUGGACAUUAUUUGGAAAGGCACACACCUGUCUAUAUAAGGUCCCACAGUUGAUAGUGCAUGUCAGAGCAACAACCAAGCCAGCUCUGAGACAGGAUUGUGUCAAGGCACAGAUCUAGGGAAGGGUACCAAUGCAUUUCUGCAGCUUUGAAGGUCCCCAAGAACACAGUUGCUUCAUCAUUCUUAAAUGGAAGAAGUUUGUAACCUCCAAGGUUUGCCGCCCAGCCAAACUGAGCAAUUGGGAGAGAAGCACCUUGGUCAGGGAGGUAACCAAGAACUCAAUGGUCACUCUGACAGAGCUCUAGAGUUCCUCUAUUGAGAGGAAGGACAACUGUCUCUGCAUCACUCCACCAAUCAGGCCUUUAUGAUAAAGUGGCCAGACGGAAGCCACUCCUCAGUAAAAAAGGCACAUGAAAGCCCACUUGGAGUUUGCCAAAAGGCGCCUAAAGACUCUCAGACCAUUAAAAACCAGAUUCUCUGGUCUGAUGAAACCAAGAUGGAACUCUUUGGCCUGAAUGCCAAGCAUUACGUUUGGAGGAAACCUGGCGCCAUCCCUACGGUGAAGCAUGGUGGUGGCAGCAUGAUGCUGUGGGGAUGUUUUUCUGGACAAGUUACUGAAUGUCCUGGAGUGGCCCAGCCAGAGCCCGGACUUCAACCCGAUCGAACAUCUCCGAAGAGACCUGAAAAUAGCUGAGCUGCAAUGCUCCCCAUCCAACCUGAGAGCGUGAGAGGAUCUGCAGAGAAGAAUGGGAGAAAUUCCCCAAAUACAGGUGUGCCAAGCUUGUAGCGUCGUACCCAAGAAGAGUCGAGGCUGUAAGUGCUACCAAAAGUGCUUUAAGAAAGUACUGAGUAAAGGGUCUGAAUACUUAUGUAAAUGUAUUUGUUUUUUGUUCGUAAUAUAUUUGCAAUAAUUUCAAAACUGUUUUUGCUUUGUCAUUAUGAGUUGUGUGUAGAUUGAGGGAAAAAACAACAACAUUUGAAUCAAUUUUAGAAUAAGGCUGUAAUGUAACAAAAUGUGGAAAAAGUCAAAGGUCUCAAUUUCCGAAGGCACUGUUUGUUAAUGGUCACAUUUUGUAAUGCUUGUUAAAGGGUUUUCAAUCAAGUUCACUGGGAAUCUGAGAUUUAACUGAUAGGUCAUUAUGAGGUGACGUCACUAAAGCUGCUGUAGGUCCCAUGACAGAAAAGUCUGAAAUUAGGAAGGAAUUCCAAUAUUGGCUCUAGAACUAAAAGGAAACCCCUGUUGUUGCUCAGCAGGACCAGGUUUGAAGACCAUUGAUGAAUGACUGUUGUAUGACCACAAUGGGCCGCAUAUUUAGGGUCUCAUUCCUGGGCACUGAACACCAGGGCUUAGUGUCUGCUGUUGUGUACAGUUAGUAUGUCUGUGCUAGAAUUUAGGGGGUCUAUGCAGUCAAAGGAUGUCCAUUUGUGUUGCUCUGUAAGUAGUUCUACGUGGUUAAGUGAGCAGUGUGUCAAGAAGCAGCCCAAUGUCUCAAGAAGCAGCGCAGGGUGUCAAGAAGCAGAGCAGGGUGUCAAGAAGCAGCGCAGGGUGUCAAGAAGCAGAGCAGGGUGUCAAGAAGCAGAGCAGGGUGUCAAGAAGCAGAGCAGGGUGUCAAGAAGCCGAGCAGGGUGUCAAGAAGCAGAGCAGGGUGUCAAGAAGCCGAGCAGGGUGUCAAGAAGCCGAGCAGGGUGUCAAGAAGCCGAGCAGGGUGUCAAGAAGCCGAGCAGGGUGUCAAGAAGCAGAGCAGGGUGUCAAGAAGCAGAGCAGGGUGUCAAGGUCGAGUUUCAGAGGACGCAUGGCUCUCAACCUUCGCCUCUCCCGAGUCCGUAUGGGAGUUGCAGUGAUGGGACAAGACGAACUACCAAUUGGAUAAAAUUUGAUAUCACAAAAUUAUUUAACCAGGUAGGCCAGUUGAGAAUAAGUUCUCAUUUACAACUGCGACUUGGCCAAGAUAAAGCAAAGAAGUGCGACAAAAAACACAGAGUUACACAUGGGAUAAACAAACGUACGGUCAAUAACACAAUAGAAAAAUAUAUGUACAGUGUGCGCAAAUGUAGAAGAUUAGGGAGGUAAGGGAAUAAUUAAGGCCAUAGAGGCGAAAAUAAUUACAAUUUAGCAUUAACACCGGAGUGAUAGAUGUGCAGAUGAUGAUGUGCAAGUAGAGAUACUGGGGUGCAUAAGAGCAAGAAGAUAAAUAACAAUAUGGGGAUGAGGUAUUUGGGUGGGCUAUUUACAGAUGGGCUGUGUACAGGUACAGUGAUCAGUAAGCUGUUCUGACAGCUGAUACUUAAAGUUAGAGGGAGAUAUAAGUCUCCAACUUCAGUGAUUUUUGCAAUUCGUUCCAGUUGUUGGCAGCAGAGAACUGGAAGGAAAGGCGGCCAAAGGAAGUGUUGGCUUUAGGGAUGAUCAGUAAAAUAUACCUGCUGGAGCGCCGUGCUAUGGGUGGGUGUUGCUAUGGUGACCAGUGAGCUGAGAUAAGGUGGGGCUUUACCAAGCAAGGACUUAUAGAUGACCUGGAGCCAAUGGGUUUGGCGAUGAAUAUGUAGCGGACCAGCCAACAAGAUCAUACAGGUCGUAGUGGUGGGUAGUAUAUGGGGCUGUGGUGACAAAACAGAUGGCACUGUGAUAGACUACAUCCAGUUUGCUGAGUAGAGUGUUGGAGGCUAUUUUGUAAAUGAUAUCGCGGAAGUCAAGGAUCGGUAGGAAGCCAAUUCUAGAUUUAAUUUUGGAUUGGAGAUGCUUAAUAUGAGUCUGGAAGGAGAGUUUACAGUCUAACCAGACACCUAGGUAUUUGUAGUUGUCCACAUAUUCUAAGUCAGAACCGUCCAGAGUAGUGAUGCUAGUCGGGCAGGGAGGUAGCAAUUGGUUGAAGAGUAUGCAUUUAGUUUUACUAUCAUUUAAAAGCAGUCGGAGGCCACGGAAGGAGUGUUGUAUUCCUCCUGACAGUGCUGUUGUAACUGUGUCAGAUUUAUAGGCCUCCUUGCUCGCUUUUUCAGUUCUAAAGCACACCCACAACAUGAUGCUGCCACCCCAGUGCUUCACGGUUGGGAUGGUGUUCUUCGGCUUGCAAGCCUCCUCCUUUUUCCUCCAAACAUAACAAUGGUCAUUAUGGCCAAACAGUUGUAUUUUUGUUUCAUCAGACCAGAGGAUAUUUCUCCAAAAUGUACGAUCUUUGUCCCCACGUGCAGUUGCAAACCGUAGUCUGGCUCUUUUAUGGCGGUUUUGGAGCAGUGGCUUCUUCCUUGCUGAGCGGCCUUUCAGGUUAUGUCGAUAUAGGACUCGUUUUACUGUGGAUAUAGAUAAUUUUGUAACUGUUUCUUCCAGCAUCUUCACAAGGGCCUUUGCUGUUGUUCGGGGUUGAUUUGCACUUUUUGCACCAAAGUACGUUCACCUCUAAGAGACAGAAUGCAUCUCCUUCCUGAGCAGUAUGAUGGCUGUGUGGUCCCAUGGUGUUUAUACUUGCGUACUAUUGUUUGUACAGAUGAACGGGGUACUUUCAGGUGUUUGGAAAUUGCUCCCAAGGAUGAACCAGAGUUGGAGGUCUACAAUUUUUUUUCUGAGGUCCUGGCUGAUUUCUUUUGAUUUUCCCAUGAUGUCAAGCAAAGAGGCAAUGAGUUUGAAGGUAGACCUUGAAAUACAUCCAUAUGUACACCUCCAAUUGACUCAAAUUAUGUCAAUUAGCCUAUCAGAAGCUUCUAAAGCAAGGACAUCAUUUUCUGGAAUUUUCCAAGCUGUUUAAAGGCACAGUCAACUUAGUGUAUGUUUUUGUGCUGGUCAAGGGAAGUUAAGUCUGGGGUGAACCACGGGCUAUAUCUGUUCUUAGUUCUACAUUUUUUGAAUGAGGCAUGCUUAUUUAAGAUGGUGAGACAAGCACUUUUAAAGAGCAACCAGGCAUCCUCUACUGACGGGAUGAGGUCAAUAUCCUUCCAGGAUACCCGGGCCAGGUAGAUUAGAAAGGCUUUCUCGCUGAAGUGUUUUAGGGAGUGUUUGACAGUGAUGAGGGGUGGUCAUUUGACCACGGACCCAUUACGGAUGCAGGCAAUGAGGCAGUGAUCGCUGAGAUCCUGGUUGAAGACAGCAGAGGUGUAUUUAGAUGGCAAGUUGGUCAGGAUGAUAUCUAAGAGGGUGCCUGCCCAUGGUUACGGAUUUAGGGUUGUACCUGGUAGGUUCCUUGAUCAUUUGUGUGAGAUUGAGGGCAUCUAUCUUAGAUUGUAGGACGGCCGGAGUGUUAAGCAUAUCCCAGUUUAGGUCACCUAACAGUACGAACUCUGAAGAUAGAGGGGGGGCAAUCAAUUCACAUAUGGUGUCCAGGGUACAGCUGGGGGCUGAUAGAGGGAUUGAGAGAGAGAGGGGUUCUGGUAUUACACUAGACAAUCAUUUAGCAGUGAUUCAAAAACCAGAACCAACCAGACUACACCAGAAUGGUAAGAGAAACGUUGUGGGACAGAGACAGUGAGGAACGGACACGUCACAGCAGAAAACAAAGAACAGAGGUAUUGGAGUGUUUUGGGGACAGUGCUAGGAUGACCGGGGUGUGGUGGCGUGUUACCAUGGUGAUGUGUGUCUUUGGGGGUUGGUAGAAGUGGUGGGGGGGCAAAGAGCUGACCAUGACCCCAGAGGAGACCCCACAGGAAGCACAAGGUCAACCCCCCCAGCUCAGAACAUCGAUUUACAACAAGUAUAGGUGUGUGUGUGUUCAUGCAAACACUCAUAAUUUACAUGAUGUCACAACUACAGCAUAAACACACAGUCAUUAAUCAGUGGCAGACUUGCAAUGUUGAAUUCCUUCUAUAUCGUGUUUGUUGUAGAUGGGAGAUGACGUGUUACCUGGUCAGCGUACCUGAUUAUAAGGUCACAAGGCGAGACCCAGAUGCAGACACGGGAGGCAGAUGGUUUGAGUCUCUGAUAUUUAUUAUAAUCCAAGGGGCAGGCAAGAGAAUGGUCGUGGACAGGCAAAAAAUCAUAAACAAGGUCCAGGGAAACAUAUGUUAACAUUUCCAAAGCAAGUGAAAUACAUAAUCAAAUAAACAAUACAAAUUAGCAGUAAACAUUACACUCACAAAAGUCCCAAAAGAAUAAAGACAUUACAAAUGUCAUAUUAUGUGCAAAUAGUUCAAGUACAAAAGGGAAAAUAAAUAAACAUAAAUAUGGGUUGUAUUUACAAUGGUAUUUGUUCUUCACUGGUUGACCUUUUCUUAUAGCAACAGGUCACAAAUCUUGCUGCUGUGAUGGCACACUGUGGUAUUUCACCCAGUAGAUAUGGGAGUUUAUCAAAAUUGGGUUUGUUUUCUAAUUCUUUGUGUAUCUGUGUAAUUACACACACAGCAUUAUGCAAUGUUAAAGGUACCUGAGUAGAUAGACAGAUCAGCAGAGGUACCCCCCUAUCACCCACACCCCAGUAUGCCAUCUCCUCCAGCUGUCUCUAUAAAGGUAAGAGUCCUUUCCUCUCCACCCGGCCGUCUCUAGCUAUCUCUAUAAAGGUAAGAGUCCUUUCCUCUCCACCAGGCCGUGCUGAAAAACAUUCCCUGUGUAGAUAGCAGACUGGUGCUGAAAAACAUUCCCUGUGUAGGUAGCAGACUGGUGCUGAAAAACAUUCCCUGUGUAGAUAGCAGACUGGUGCUGAAAAACAUUCCCUGUGUAGGUAGCAGACCGGUGCUGAAAAACAUUCCCUGUGUAGAUAGCAGACUGGUGCUAAACACAUUCCCUGCGUAGGUAGCAGACUGGUGCUGAACACAUUCCCUGCGUAGGUAGCAGACCGGUGCUGAACACUGACAUAGUGAUUGGAGAGACAGACUAUAGAUCCUAAACAGUGUUUUACUACCAGAAACAAGGACAGUUCACCAUCAACUCCUACAAAAAUUUCCAUUAAUUAUAAUCUACAUAAUCAUUCAAAUUUCCUGUUGCUUAAAUUAUUAUCCUACAGUUGUACAUAUAUGAAAUUAGAAGAUGUAUUUCCCUUAGUUAUGUAUAUUAAAACAAUAAUGUUGAAAUUGA